UCCAAUUCCUAUCUCCAAGAAAAAUAAAGGAGAGAAUCAAAAGGAUUUGUCUUCCCUCCAGCAAUGAGUGAUAGUUCUGGAGUUGUCUCUGCAAGGGGACCAAGUGUUAGCUUUGAUCUUAGGCUACCACACUCUUAAAAAACAACAUAGAGAUAGGGAAAAGAAGAUUGACCAACACUGACCUUCUGAAUACUAUGUCUAUUCUUUAACCACAAUUAUGAGGGAUCGAACUCAGGACCUUGUGCUUGCAAGGCAGGCGGUGGAACCACUGAGCUAAAUCCCUGGCCCUUCGUCUCUCAUCUUGAUGAUAGAACCAUCUUUUGGCUGGAUUUGCUAUUGUCCCCUGCCUACAACUUUAGCCAGUUGGCUGAUUCUGUGGAUGUGGAACCCUCAGAUACAGAAUGUCAACUAUACAUUUCACAGAGACAGAGAAAGAAUUUUCUAAUGAAAACAACUUUUCUAUAGAAAAUACUUUAAGAAGGAGGAAGUCAAGGACCUAUGAAUAAGAAGAAACCUGUCUAAAAUUUGGAAUGACAGGUAACACUAAGGAGGCUCUCUUGGUCAUAACAUUCUUCUCAUCAUCACCAAGCCUUCCAAAUUGUCCCAUCUGCUCUAAAACUGGCCUCUGGAGCAAUAAUGGAAGCAAUCUUCUUUACAGUUUUCUACAUGAAAUCAAUCUGCCAACAGGAGCAAAUUCAUUUUCAACUUUUUCUUUUAGAAGAAUGACAAGUUAUCUCUGAUGUCUG